rnacentral:rRNA from 1 species
UUGUCCUACGGGGCGCAGCAGUGAGGAAUAUUGGUCAAUGGCCGAGAGGCUGAACCAGCCAAGUCGCGUGAGGGAAGACGGCCCUACGGGUUGUAAACCUCUUUUGUCGGGGAGCAAAGAGAGUCACGUGUGACUCAUUGAGAGUACCCGAAGAAAAAGCAUCGGCUAACUCCGUGCCAGCAGCCGCGGUAAUACGGAGGAUGCGAGCGUUAUCCGGAUUUAUUGGGUUUAAAGGGUGCGCAGGCGGCGAGUUAAGUCAGCGGUAAAAUUUCGGGGCUCAACCCCGACGAGCCGUUGAAACUGGC